rnacentral:rRNA from 1 species
CCUACGGGACGCAGCAGUGAGGAAUAUUGGUCAAUGGGCGGGAGCCUGAACCAGCCAAGUCGCGUGAGGGAAGACGGUCCUACGGAUUGUAAACCUCUUUUGCCGGGGAGCAACGGGGUCCUUGCGAGGGCCCGAUGAGAGUACCCGGAGAAAAAGCAUCGGCUAACUCCGUGCCAGCAGCCGCGGUAAUACGGAGGAUGCGAGCGUUAUCCGGAUUUAUUGGGUUUAAAGGGUGCGUAGGCGGGACGGUAAGUCAGCGGUAAAAAUGCGGAGCUCAACUCCGUCGAGCCGUUGAAACUGUCGUU